rnacentral:tRNA from 1 species
GGCUUUUUACAAUUAGGAUUUGAAAUCUAAAUAAGGAAAAAUUUUUCCAAAAGCCU